ensembl:lncRNA
GAAAAAAAGAAAAAAUUGAUUUACAGCAUCUAACAGUUCCAUUCAACAGUGCAUUAGCCUGCGCUACUAUGGGCUUCCACAAAAAAUAUGGAUAAAUCGAACCAGGAAAUGGAUCAUCUUCGCAUGCCACCGAAAAAGGAAUCUGUUGUUACUCAAGACGGAGCUCUAGGCUCAGGGACUGUCUCUAAUUUUAGCACCUGGAGUUCCAUAUAAGCAUACCAUAUAUUUUAGCUAUGACACACAGAAACAAUAAAUCCUAAAACCAAACACCAGGCAUAGAGGCAAACACUAUGUUCUCAUGACUUAAACGAGUCAGUCAUUUGAAAUGGUAAUAAGCUCCUUUAAUGAAAAUAGAGUGAGAGAAUUGACUCGGAAACAAAAUCAGAAGAAAAAAAAAAGUCAACUGAAGUAUACAAGGCUUGUAAAACAUAGGUGUAUGUAUCUCUGUCAUUUUAUACUUUCCUUAUAGAAUGUAAUGAAACCGAAAACAUUUCAUGCGAACUGAAAUAACUUAAACAGCCCAUAAAUUGAUCCUGCACUUCCAUUUGCACAUGAGACCCUUCAUGUGCAAAUGUUUAUGAGGGAAUGAAUACAUAAUUGUAUUGUUCAAAAAAUAUUGGUUCAACCAUUCUGCAGAAACUUUCUACAGAUCCCCAAAUAUAAUUAUGUUAGUGAUGUUUUUAUCACAAUUAUUUGAGAAUUUAUGGGCAUUCGAUUUUCUUUCCCUCCUUGCUGCUAUGUCUUUUGACUUGACUGACUCUAUGUCUAAGCCUUCUAAAAGUGACGCCAAUAGUUUAAUCAAUAACAACUUCAAUGCCCUCCGCUGACUUUAGCACCUUUUAUAUUUUAUAUGAUUAUGGCUCUCAUCUCCCGCUCAUUCUCCUGUGUGCACAGCCUUGAGCCCUGUCUGUUACAGCUCCUAUGGAAGGCUGAGUAAAUGUUUUCUUUUGUGCGGGAGCUCUGCUCCUGUAAAGGACAGCCGUUAUAUGUCUCAACCUCUACAGUAUAGAAACACAAAUAGAACUGUACAAUGGGGGAUGUCAGAGGAGUGCAGAUGACCAAACUCUGUAGGGAGUCAUGUACUGUAAGUGCAGGCUCUCAUCUCAACUGCUAGGAAUCAAUAUGUCAUUUCCUCCCUACCUGUCAGAAGUGCGCAGAGACCCAGAUCUAAGUUUUUCUUUUUUUAUAUGUACAGUGCAAGGUAUGUGUGCUAUAGAUUCUGUCUUUGAAUUGAUCUUAACAAGUGCUACGUUGAUACGAAUUGGAAAAAUUGGCUCUAUUCUUCAGCAAGUGCCUAUGUUUAGGUAACACUUUAUGUGAAGUUGCCCUUAGAGCCUACCUGUGUAAUAACACAGUUAUUACUAUAGUUACAAUAUUGUAUUAGCAUGUUACUACAUGGUUAUUUAGUCAUUAUCUGUAGUUGUCUUUGUUGGAACCUGCAGAACUGUGAUUGGGUGUAGGCCUAAUGUUAUUAUAGUGUCCUUUCUUUUCCUGUGCGUGGAGGCUCAUAGUGACAGACAAAUGAAUAACAUGAGUAGAGAUAAACACUUCACUGUAGGCAUGUAUUGCAUGUAUGUGAUUGCAUAUUGUGUACUGGUAGCGAACGAGGUGAUUCUCCCUUGACAAUAUGAAGCACUUUUAACUCCUUGGAAAAGCCUGAAUGAAUCCAAUACGUUAUUAUUCUAAUAGCAUAUGGCCUUCAAAAUUGCCCGAGAUGGCAAAUGUGAAUGUGCAAAUGUGCAUUUUUAUUGUCAUUUAUGAAAGCUGCAAUAGUAUUUACCAAGGUGUCCGUGGGGUUUUAUUGGUCAGCCCAGUUAUUUCCCCAUGUGUUUAGGCUGGCUGUUUUCUUCCUUUGUCCCACACAAUUAAAUCGGGGAGGGGCUGUGGAUCUGUCUCCGUCCGUUAAUAUGUUCGUACGUUCGUCACACGCAAUAUCUCAGACAGCACUGGCCUGAUUAUGAUGAAAUUUGGGUGAAUGAUGUGUCUUUACGCAGAGUACAAAAUUACACUGACUGACCAGAUGGUGGCGCUAUAACAAGUGAUUGAAAAUGCAAACCCCUCACUCCAUUUGACCUAAAGUCAUGAAAUUCAGUACAUAGGUCCCUCUCCUAUGUAAAUUUACUUCUGGUACCCUUUAGGUCCGCCAUUAUGUAUUUUCCGCCAUUUUGAAUUUUGUGGAUUUAUUUUUAAAACGCUACUCUGCUGGCACGGAAUGACCAAUCUGAAUAAAACUUGAUAUGUGGCAUCUAUGGAAAAAGGUCUCUCAACACAACUUUUUUCCACACUAGUACCUAAAACAAUAUGGUCGUUAUUGACCAAUAAACAAUCUGUCAAAACCUCAUUGUGGCGGCAGGGUAGCCUAGUGGUUAGAGCAUUGGACUAGUAACCGAAAGGUUGUAAGUUCAAAUCCCUGAGCUGACAAGAUACAAAAUCUGUUUUUCUGCCCCUGAACAGGCAGUUAACCCACUGUUCCUAGGCUGUCAUUGAAAAUAAGAAUUUGUUCUUAACUGAC